UUGCGAUCGAGUGAUCUAGGUCGUAAACUUCCAACACAGCUUUGUUGAAUCGAGCUACAUAAGAUCGAAUGGACUCGCUCUUCUUCUAUUCGAUGGUCUAGAGGUAGUUCGAGUGCUUUUGUUGUCGCCGGCUGGUAAUGAAGUGGGCAACAAAGACAGCUGCUGGAAAGAGUGAAUAGAAGCCAGCUUCAGAAUAAAGUACCAAUGUCAGACCGCCCCUUCAAAGUGGAGGGGAAGGCUUGACAUAGGAUAGCAUCG
rnacentral:lncRNA from 1 species